rnacentral:rRNA from 1 species
AACGAACGCUGGCGGCAGGCCUAAAACAUGCAAGUCGAACGCCCGUAGCAAUACGGGAGUGGCAGACGGGUGAGUAACACGUGGGAACGUGCCCUUUGGUUCGGAACAACACAGGGAAACUUGUGCUAAUACCGGAUAAGCCCUUACGGGGAAAGAUUUAUCGCCAGAGGAUCGGCCCGCGUCUGAUUAGCUAGUUGGUGAGGUAACGGCUCACCAAGGCUACGAUCAGUAGCUGGUCGAGAGGAUGAUCAGCCACACUGGGACUGAGACACGGCCCAGACUCCUACGGGAGGCAGCAGUUAGGAAUCUUGGACAAUGGGCGCAAGCCUGAUCCAGCCAUGCCGCGUGAGUGAUGAAGGCCUUAGGGUUGUAAAGCUCUUUCAGCGGGGGAAGAUAAUGACGGUACCCGCAGAAGAAGCCCCGGCUAACUUCGUGCCAGCCGCCGCGGUAAC